AGGACAUGUGUGGUGUGGGCUUCUUCAGGUGCUGGUGGUGUUGGCAUGAGGAAAGGAGGUAUCUUCGAGGGACAAUCUUCUUCUUGUGCGAUCCUUGGAGAUGCCAUGAGGCCCCUGGACACAUGUGGUGUGGGCUCCUUUGGAGGCUGUUGUAUCCCUUCUGAAUGUGGCGUGGGCAUAGAAGGAAGGCCAGUGGCCACGAGGGACAAUCUUGGUCUUGGGAGAUCCUGGAAAUGAUAGGGAGUCCCUUGAUAUGUGUGGCAUGGGCUCCUUCAGGUGCUAGUGGAUUCCUUAGGAUGGUGGUGUUGGCAUGAAAGGCAGGCUUGUAUCAUGAGGAAUGAUUGUCAUCUUGUCUGAUUCUUGGAGAUGGCAGGAAGCCCCUGGAAACACAUGGUGUGGACUCUUUCACAGGCUGUUGAAACCCUCCUGAAUGGGCAAGGACUGGAUCGAUGAUGACUUCCAUAUGUACAUUCCUUGGAAAGCUGAACAAAAUGAGUGAAAACUCUAUACCGUCAUCCUCGUCGAACUGAGGUGUUGUGGCCAUGGAAGUAAGGCCAGUGGCUACGAGGGACAGUCUUCAUCUUGGGAGAUCCCUAGAGAGGGCAGGGAGCCCCUUGACAUGUGGAAUGUGAUCUCUGUUGGGUGCUGGUGGAUCCCACAGGUGGUCUGGCAUGGAAGAAGGCCAGAGGCUGCGAUGGAUCAUCUUUGUCUUGGGAGAUUCCUGGAGAUGGUGGGGAGCCCCUGGGCACGUGCAGCAUAUGUGGCGUGGGCUUCUUCAGGUGCUGGUGGAUCCCUCAGGAUGGUAAAUGUCCAUUUUCCAAAAUCUUCUGAUAUUCCAUCUUUGUAGGUACAAAGACUGUGCAUGGAUCGAUGAUGACUUUUAUACAUGCAUUCCUUGGAAAGCUGAACAAAAUGAGUGAAAACUCUAUACCGUCAUCUUCGUUGAACUGAGGUCCAGCACAUUGCUCCAACAGUGGGUAGAUAGAGAGGGAAAACUUCCAUUUGUUGACGCAGGUUCCAUUGAGGGGUUUGUCCAGGCUUAGGAUGGGGUCCCCUUUGGGCAAAGGGAGUCACAGGGGAGUGCGGCCUCCUGUGCACAGGAGAUUCCUUGUGUGAAGGAUUUACCUCUGUGAGAGCAGGGUAGCACACAUAACUAUGCAGGAGCAGGUGAAUGUGCAGGUGGCACAGGAAGAGUUAGAUGGCAGCCUGUCUCUGCACAGCGAGGUUUGACUUGUCCUAGCUCUGCAUUCCCUCAUCCCUUAGAGGAAGUUGGUUUCUUCAGAAGACUUAAAUUUGUGGAAUUCAGUAGAAUAUUAUCCACAUAAUGUUCCCAGUGAAUGCUAGGCAUAUCACCCAAGAUGGCCAGGCCUCUGGCCAUAAACCAUAGUAAAUAGUAGGGUGUGCAUAUAUCCAUUAGGGAGAACCUGAAAGGUCCUUUUUUGGCCCUCCAAGGUGAAUGCCUGCAAAAGCAAGCGAAGCACGCUAUCUGCCUGCAUGAGCCCCAUGUACCUGGCGUGGCCUGUGCUCCUCACCGUGUGUCCCACUUCUGCUGCCCCUUCGCCUUGCCAGGUGGAGUCUGACUGAUUUUUUGCCACUGCUGCCACCACAGGCCACCUGGAGCCCCAGCCAGUUUGAGGAAAGUGGCUCUGCUUGAUUUUCCUUUUUUCUUUUUUUUUCCUCUUUUUUUCUCCAUUUCUGACUUCAGCAGGUGGGACUUGGAGCUUCUGCUUCUGCAGCCACAGAAGACUCCCCAGUUUGGAGGGCUGUGGUUGUGGGCUCCCUAAGCAUCUCUCUGCAGAGCCUCUUUGUUUUCCAUUUUACCCACCAUGUCAAUAAUUUAACACAGUGGCGGAGGAGUUCAUGUCUCUUCCUAUUUGUCAUUACUCUUCUAACUUUCACAGCUGUACUCGGCUACUGGUCAGAAUAAGAGAAAAAGCAGUGGAACCAGGAGGAUCCUACAAGAAAUAUUCCAUUUCACUUUUGUUUGUGCAUAUACCUUUUCUGUUUAAAUGUGGACUUCGAUUUGAUAUGCUUCCAGUGCAGACACAGAUCCCAUAUGUAAGAGAGUAUGGAGUUGCAUAGAAAGAAGACUUGUCAUUUUCCUGUACUGUUGGUGUUCUAAUCUGUCUUCGUGGUUUUUGCCUCUUCUGGCUUUAGAAGAUACACCAACAUGGUUUUGCAACAUAGCCUCUUCUUAUUUUAGUAAGGGACCAAAUGUGCAUGUCAGUAACAGGUGUUACCUUGAAUUGGGAUCAGUGCUUGUGUGACUAUAUUCAGUGAUGUCAUUUUCUGUCACACUCAAGUCACAAAAUAUUUAACCACUUAUUUUUUUAUCUCUGGAGGAAUAAUCCAAAAGAUUGUACUGGUAAAGCCAGAACAAUUUCCAAUUAUGCUAAUUAUUUGUAUAAUACUUAGUUGGCUUUAUCUGUGGUUUGUUGGCUUAUUUUCCUGUAGCUUUUCAAGGUUUUUCUAUGAGUUCUGUUAAAGAGUCUGAAAAUGGAGCGUAGAAGACAUGCUUCGAUUUCCAGGAUGGUUGUGUUUUCCAGAGAGGCGGAGGUAAACCACUGGCGCAGCCCUGCCUCCCACAGAUAAUUCCGGGUGCAGUGUUUCAUAUCUAGACUUGGACUUCUAUCCUACCAUACUUCUUUGUGUGCAGUUCAUUGUGGAACCAGCACAGAUUUUCAUACGAAAGUUAUUUCUUUUUAACCUCAAAAAGUGACAGAAUGGAGUGUAUCAUGAAAAAGUCUGACAUCAAAACCUCAAAAUGUGAUAUUGAUUGGGUGAGAUAGAAUUCCAUGGAAUUUCAUUGCCAAACCAGUGAAGUGCUAAUUUUGACAUUUGUACCAGCUAACGUAGCUGUGAAGAAACACACCAAUACACUUCUAAGGACAGCAUAGACCAAGAUCUAGGUUUCAUAUGGAUGAAUUUAUUCUUCCCUUUGAGGCAAGACAAGAAGGAAAGAAAGUAUUGGGAAUAAUGCUGCCCUCCCAUCCUCAAGGGCCAGUGGGAACUCUAAUAUUGAUUGGUUUUCACAGAAUUCCAUGGACUUUAACUGCUGAACCAAUGAUGCACUGAUUUUGUCACUUGUACCAGCUAACGCAUCUGGGAGGCAACAAAACAAUACUCUCCUGAGGUUAAUGUGGACCAAAAACUAGAUUUCAUAUAAAAGAGUUUAUUCCUUCUACUUGAGGUGUGACAUGAAGGAAAGUAAUGGAAAUAAUUCUGCCCUCCCAUUCUCAAGGGCCAGGGGGAAUUCAAAUAUUGAACGGAAGUGAUUUUGGAAUUGCAUGGAAUUCUCACUGCCAUCCCAAAGAAAUGCUGAUCUUGUCACUCUUACCUGUUUCAUUCCCUGGGGGCAGAACAAAAGGACGCACUCCAAAGAUCGGCAUGAACCAAGAACUGGGUUUCAUAUAAAAUAUUUUAUUCUGUCCUCUUGAGAUGUGACAUGAGAAAAGUAUUGAGAAUACUUCUAUCACCUCAUCUUCAAGAAUCCGUAGGAAUUCUCCCAUGGUGGACUUUACGGUUAACCUGAACAGGUCUUGGAAAAAGGACUUUAAACAUUCUCCUGUUCUGUGGAAUAAGUAUACUUUUUUCUGGACAUACACCUUGUCAGUGAGUUCCAUGUGAUACUAGAGUUGCAUAGAUUUUUAACCUUUACGCCAAUGAAGAUCUGAGGCAAACAUUGCCCCUUUUUUAGAAGUUUGCAUUUGUCACUGAUAACUGUAAUAAUUGAUCUUGUUGAAAAGCCUGGGAAAUGAAGAUCUGAUAUGUCACUUUUACCGGCUUCCUCAACUGAAAAAGAAUACAAUGAAACACGCUGAGAAUUUUUGUGCUUUCUCAGUCUUGCUGAUGAUCUUUCUAUGGGCCUGAAGCGUGGAGAGUGCCAGAGAGGCUGAUCCUCAGCAGUGUGGCAGAGGAAAGUUGGGUGCGACUAAGGGGUAUGCGGUGCCCACAUGCCACUGGGUCCUCAGCAGUACCACCUGAUUGGAAGUGAUAUUGGUGGAAGACAACAUUUUGCCGCUUGGAAUUCUCACCUCCACACCAAAGAAGUACUGUUUUUGUCAUUUGCACCAGCUUCUUUCUCCAGGAAAGAUCAAAACGAUGCACUGCAAGUGUGAUUGGUCCAGAUAGCUGCCUUAUCCAACUGCCUCCUUUGGACCACUUCAUCAUGGGACAGCUUGAUGCAAUCUACUUGACAAGACCCUGGAACCCCACACCCCUCAUGGAACCAGUGUCCACCUCCCAGUCACAGUGUGACCCCAGGGAACUCUUGCCUGCUUGCUUUAAACCCACCACUUAAAAGUCUCCACAGAAAACCUGUUUGAAUAGUACCCUUGACCCAAUAAGGGCAUUGGCCCCUGGGUGUCUCUCUCUCUCUCUCUCUCUCUCUCUCCCUCUCUCUCCCUCUCUCUCUCUCGCUCCCUGACCUCUGCGUGUGGACUCCAGGCAUGCCAUAUACCCCUCAGGACCUGAAGCAAAAGAAUGAAUUAAAGAAAACUCCAGAGAAUGAGCUGACAACCUACUCCCUGGUCAGUGGCUCUCCAUGCCUACCUGUGGUCUCUUGGACACCCUUGCAGAAGAUGACUUCCUGGGAACUCUUCUGGGAGUGAAUGUUAUCAGCAAAUUCCCAAAACAACACCCCUUAGACAAAAAGCCUCCUCACCUAUGCAUUGCCUAGACCACCCACUAAAGGUGAUGGCCACAAAGAGGUGGAUUUGUUGAGUUGGUGCCAUUCCUUCUACUGCCAGCUUCACCAAAACAAUGACACAGUCUUCCUUCCGCAUGGAGACUCUUCUCUUUCCUGUGUUGCAGUGGAUGCCUCCUGCAGAUAAGAAAUGCUUAACUGAGAAAUGCUCAUGUUGGGAUAUCAUCGAUGAGACUUUAAUUUGGGCAUGGUGACUGUUUCCCUUGCUGCCACUUGACUCAAUCCCAGGAGCCUCAGUAGAGGAUAUAAUAUUACACAAGAUGCUCAAAAUGGUGGAAUUGCUCAGUGCUCCCAUAAAUAUACAUUUAUAAUUUUCAUUUGCCACAUGGUAAACUGAAAAAUACAGACUAUAUUAAAAAGAAACUGCAUGAUUUUUUUUCAAAAAUUCAAAGCAUAUUUAAAUAAUAUAUAAAUUAAAUGCCCUCCUCUCUUCCAAUUCUGUCCCUAUAGUUUUCCUCUAUUAAGUGAACUACAUGCAUUCUUUUAGUGGAUAGAUGCACACAAACACACAAGCCAUUAUGGGGAAGGAUCCACGUGUGUGGCCAUAUUGUAACACAUUUUUCUGCAAAUCACCUCUUUCAUUUAACAGCCCUUAUUCAAUGGCCUUUUUCUUUUUCAGUAGUACAUACACAUCUGUGUCAUUUGUUGAAUGACGACAUGAAUGUUUUGUAGAUAAAAUAUAAUUAAAUGUUUUAAGCAUUUCUCACUCAUAGAUAUUUAUGUUAGCACCAAAUUUCUGUGCAAUGAACCUCCCUAUAUAUCAGUAAUUUUGCAUUUGUCUAUAAUAUCAUAAUAAAUUACUUAUCAGUUGAAUUACUGGGAUUAAGUAUGUGCACACUUUAUAUUUAUAUUUUGAAAAUUAUUGCAAGAUUGCCUUCAAAAAUGUGGUUAACAACUUUAUCUUCAAAUGGCAAUGAAUGAGAUUGCCAGCUUUCCUACAGCCUCACAGACAAUGGAUUUUAUAAAUAUUUAACAUUUUUGCCAAUGUGAUCACCCAAACUAUUGUCUUAAAUUGUAUCUCUUUUGUUUUUGAGUUUGGUCAUUUUUUCAUGUUUAUUAGCCAUCUGUAUUUUUUAAUUUCUUCUUUAUGUCCAAUUUUGUGGGUGGGAGGAGGAUUUAGUCUCUUCCUGAUUUCGAAGAGCUCAUUUACUAUUUCGGGAAAUAAGAUUUGGAUUGUCAACCAUUAUAGCUAUUUUUUACACACUUUUCAACUUUGUUUUUGUUAUAAGAAUGUGUAUGAUUGUUACAUGUCCAAGUAUAACCAUGUUCGCUUUUAUGGCUUCUGAGUUUCAUGUCAUUUUUGGAAAGAUAUAUAUAUUGAGUCCAUAAAACCCUUCACCUAUGUUAAAUUCUAAUUCUUUUGUGUUUUUUUAAUUCAAAUUCUUAAAUCAUGAGAAAUUUUUUUGUUUUGAAAUCUUAAAGUUGCCAAGUUACUUGCCAUUACUUGCGAUUAUUUGCCAAUAAUUGCCCAUUUAUCUGUACCGCCAUCUUGCGCAUAUGCUGUACUCUCAUCUGUGACUGGCUCCAUUUUUGUUCUGUGGAUUUGUGUGUCUCUUCUUCUGCCUCCUGUCUCGUGUCUGCUCGUUGGAAGAAAUUACAGUUUAGACUGCAAUUUCAUCAACUUUAAUAAAUCAAUUGAGGGGAGAAUUGGUUUUUAAAAAUAUUAAGUAAGUCUUCGUAUCCAAGGACAAGGUAUGUCUUUUCUUAUUCAAUAAUUUUAAUUACUGUUAAUAUUUUCACUGUGGUGAUGGGAGUUUUUCUUUUAAUUUAUUUUCUUGUUCAUUUUUUGUAUCUAAAGUUUUUGUUUUGUUUUGUUUUGGGGGUAAGUUGUCACCUUACUGUUUCUUGUUGCUUUUCAGAUUUUUUCAAAGUAUAGACUAAAUCCUUCACAAAUAUUUAAAGUUUUUAUUUUCCCCCUUCAUAUUGAUCCUGAUUUUAGUUAUGUUGACAAAGUCCACAGACUGUUACUAUCAGAACACUUGAACAGUUAUGGAAAUAUUACCUACCCUUGAUUUAAUCAGAGUUUAAUGGUAUGCUUCUUUGGUUUGACUGGCACAUUGUCGCUGGUCAUUUCCUCCCAAAGACCACCAGAAAGAGCUAUGAUCAAGCAAAGCUGAGUUUGUUAAACUUACCUGCAGCAAGGGAAAACACCACCUUGAUAGGGUUUAAUAAUGUUUCAAAAUCAAGAAAUGAGGCUUUGGGGUCUGGGCAGGGAACUAAUUAGAAAUGGGCAAAAUUUGUCAUGCAAUACCUUGUGGGAAAGUGAGAUGAGGUUCUUAAUGUGAGUAUUGAUGGUGAAAUCAUUUUCUAGGUGAGCUGUUUGCCUAUAUAAAGAUGUUAUCAAUGACAGAAGAACUAUUUGCCUAGAUAAACAAACUGAAUUUAUUUAUUGGUUUACAGUUUUAUCUUGCUGGGCAGGACUCUGCUGGGGGUGGUAUCAGGUCUUAUUCCCAAUAGGUAAGUUAUUUGGAUAUGGGUGGUCUUAAUCAUCAAUGUGUAAAAUGCUGAUUUUAAGUGCGAAAUACUUUGUCUACCAUGUUAGGAAAGUCUGCCACCUUUUAUCUUUUUUAAGGAAUUUUAAUCAAAACCAGGUGGUAGAUAUAAUCAAAUUGUUUUGCAGAAUCAAUUUUCCUGUUCUCUUUAAAGACUUUUAUCACUGUGAAUUAAUUUACUAUUAUUGCAACUUCCUUUAAUUCCUUGAAUGAACAGACCCUACUGGUUUUAAAAAUGUUUUAUUCUUUUAAUUUACUACUUAAUUGUGGGUAUUUUAAUUUGAUUUGGAAUUUUUACAAGUAUACAACUAAGUGAAAUUGAUCUGUGAUUUUUCUUUUUUGUGCUAUUUUUGUCAUGUUUUGAUAUCAGAUAUUCUGGUUGUGUUAAAAUAAUUUUGAGGAUUUUCUUCUUAUACUGUGUUCUAGAGUGGGUAAAAAAGCCCUAGUCUCACUAUCAGUGUUUAAGUGAACACAUCAGUGACAUCAUCUGGACUCUCCUUUGUUUUUGCUGGUUUGGAGUUAGGACAUCUAGAAGUUUUUUUCUUUUUUUCCUUUUUUUGUAUGGUUAUUGCUUGUUCUUUGUUUUGUGUCAAAUUUAACCUGUUUUCUCUUAGCAAAUCACAGCUCAUGCAGAUUUUCAAACACAUUAGCCUUGUUAUACAAAGUGUUCUUUCAUCAUUCUAUUAAAUUUCCAUUUUCAUUCCAGUUAUAGUUAUUUCUGCUGUGCCUUUGUUAAUGAAUAAGUUUAAACAGUGGAUGUUUAGCAUCACUAGCCUUCCCCUUCCAUCUCCCUUAAUCAGGACCUUGGUAUAAUUUAUCAGGUAUUUUUUAAGGUUCUAAUUUACUUAUAUAUAUUGUUUCUGUAUUCUUUUGUUUCUUUUCUUAAUAAAUUCUUAAA
ensembl:lncRNA SNHG14 small nucleolar RNA host gene 14